CCUACGGGUGGCAGCAGUGAGGAAUAUUGGUCAAUGGACGAGAGUCUGAACCAGUCAAGUAGCGUGAAGGAUGACUGCCCUAUGGAUUGUAAACCUCUUUUGUCAGGGAGCAAAGUCACCCACGUGUGGGUGUUGGAGAGUACCUGAAGAAAAAGCAUCGGCUAACUCCGUGCCAGCAGCCGCGGUAAUCCGGAGGAUGCGAGCGUUAUCCGGAUUUAUUGGGUUUAAAGGGUGCGUAGGGGGGUUAUCAAGUCAGCGGUAAAAUCGUGGAGCUCAACUCCAUCCAGCCGUUGAAACUGAUGAUCUUGAGUGGGCGAGAAGUAUGCGGAAUGCGUGGUGUAGCGGUGAAAUGCAUAGAUAUCACGCAGAACUCCGAUUGCGAAGGCAGCAUACCGGCGCCCGACUGACGCUGAAGCAUGAAAGCGUGGGUAUCGAACAGGAUUAGAUACCCUUGUAGUC
rnacentral:rRNA from 1 species